rnacentral:rRNA from 1 species
CGAAUGCUGACGUGAGUAACGACAAAACGGGUGAAAAACCCGUUCGCCGAAAGACCAAGGGUUCCAGUCCAACGUUAAUCGGGGCUGGGUGAGUCGACCCCUAAGGCGAGGCCGAAAGGCGUAGUCGAUGGGAAAAUGGUUAAUAUUCCAUUACUUCUGUGUAAUGCGAUGAGAGGACGGAGAAGGCUAAAUCAGCCUGGCGUUGGUUGUCCAGGUGAAAGGAUGUAGGCAUGUAUCUUAGGCAAAUCCGGGGUACUCUAUGCUGAGAUCUGAUAGCAAGCUGUACUUGUACAGCGAAGUGGUUGAUGCCAUGCUUCCAGGAAAAGUCUCUAAGCUUCAGUUACACAGGAAUCGUACCCGAAACCGACACAGGUGGUCAGGUCGAGUAGACCAAGGCGCUUGAGAGAACUCUGCUGAAGGAACUAGGCAAAAUGGUACCGUAACUUCGGGAGAAGGUACGCUGUUGUUGGUGAUGGAACUCGCUUCCUGAGCUGACGACAGCCGCAGAAACCAGGCCGCUGCAACUGUUUAUUAAAAACAUAGC